rnacentral:rRNA from 1 species
AUGGCUCGUGGCGCCCCUCUGCUUGCAGCAGCAGUGGUAGCUGUUGUGGCACUUGGGUCUGUAGGGGCGACAGAGCAGGAGGCCGCCGGCUUGAGGCAGCCUCCGGUGGCGCAGGGCCUGUCGUUCGAGUUCUACCGGCAGAGCUGCCCCAGGGCAGAGUCCAUCGUGCGUGACUUCGUCCGGGACGCCGUCCGCAAGGACAUCGGCCUCGCCGCCGGCCUGCUCCGCCUCCACUUCCACGAUUGCUUCGUGCAGGGCUGCGACGCGUCGGUGCUUCUGGACGGGUCGGCCACGGGGCCGGGGGAGCAGCAGGCGCCACCCAACCUCACGCUCCGCCCGUCCGCCUUCAAGGCCGUCAACGACAUCCGGGACCGGCUGGAGCGUGAGUGCCGCGGCGCCGUCGUCUCCUGCUCCGACAUCCUGGCCCUCGCCGCCCGCGACUCGGUGGUCGCCUCGGGCGGGCCGGAGUACCGCGUGCCCCUCGGCCGCCGCGACAGCCCCAGGUUCGCCACGGCACAGGACGUGCUGUCCGGUCUUCCCCCGCCGUCCUCGAACGUGCCGUCCCUCCUCGAUGUGCUCCGGGAGAUCGGCCUCGACGCCACCGACCUCGUCGCGCUCUCCGGCGGCCACACCGUGGGGCUCGGGCACUGCACCUCCUUCGACGACCGCCUCUUCCCUCGCCCGGACCCCACCAUGAGCCCGGACUUCCUUGGCAGGCUGAAACGAACGUGUCCAUCCAAGGGCACCGACGCGCGCACAGUGCUGGACGUGCGCACCCCAAACGUGUUCGACAACAAGUACUACGUGAACCUGGUGAACCGGGAGGGGCUCUUCGUGUCCGACCAGGACCUCUUCACGAACGCCACCACCCGGCCCAUCGUGGAGCGCUUCGCGCGCAGCCAGCGUGACUUCUUCGACCAGUUCGGCGUAUCCAUGGUCAAGAUGGGCCAGAUCAAGGUGCUCACUGGCGACCAGGGCCAGGUUCGCCGCAACUGCUCCGCUCGCAACCCCGGGACUGCUGACGGGCUCCAGUGGUCGUCCCUGGUGCAGACCGUCGUCGACGCCACCGCGGAGAGCCUCGGUUUGUAA